UACGUAGGGGACAAGCGUUGUCCGGAUUUAUUGGGCGUAAAGAGCGUGUAGGCGGCCAGGUAGGUCUGCUGUGAAAACUCGAGGCUUAACCUCGAGAUGUCGGCGGAAACCAUCUGGCUAGAGUCCGGAAGAGGAGAAUGGAAUUCCCGGUGUAGCGGUGAAAUGCGCAGAUAUCGGGAAGAACACCCGUGGCGAAGGCGGUUCUCUGGGACGGUACUGACGCUGAGACGCGAAAGCGUGGGGAGCGAACAGG
rnacentral:rRNA from 1 species